rnacentral:rRNA from 1 species
AAUGAACGCUGGCGGCGUGCCUCAGACAUGCAAGUCGAACGCGAAAGUAGGUUCGCCUAUGAGUAGAGUGGCGCACGGGUGAGUAAUGGUUAGGUAACGUACCUCUUCGCUGUGGAUAACCAGGGGGAAACCUUGGCUAAUACAGAAUAGUUCGAACUAGACUGCGGUCAUGUUCGAUAAAGCCGUAAGGCGCGGAGAGAGCGGCUUAACUCCUAUCAGCUUGUUGGUAGUGUAAAAGACUACCAAGGCUACGACGGGUAGCUGGUCUGAGAGGAUGAUCAGCCACACUGGAACUGGAACACGGUCCAGACUCCUACGGGAGGCAGCAGUUAGGAAUUUUGCGCAAUGGGCGAAAGCCUGACGCAGCAACGCCGCGUGAGGGAGGAAGGCCUCGGUUGUAACCUCUUCUAGCAGGGACGAAGGGUGGACUGACGGUACCUGUAGAAGAAGACACCGGCCAACUACGUGCCAGCAGCCG